rnacentral:tRNA from 1 species
GGGGAUGUAGCUUAAUUGGUAGAGCAUUAAAAGUGCUUAUUAUUACUUAUUAUAAAGGUACGGGGUUCUAUUCCUUGCAUGUCUC